GACGAACGCUGGCGGCGUGCCUAAUACAUGCAAGUAGAACGCUGAAGGAGGAGCUUGCUUCUCUGGAUGAGUUGCGAACGGGUGAGUAACGCGUAGGUAACCUGCCUGGUAGCGGGGGAUAACUAUUGGAAACGAUAGCUAAUACCGCAUAAGAGUGGAUGUUGCAUGACAUUUGCUUAAAAGGUGCACUUGCAUCACUACCAGAUGGACCUGCGUUGUAUUAGCUAGUUGGUGGGGUAAGGGCUCACCAAGGCGACGAUACAUAGCCGACCUGAGAGGGUGAUCGGCCACACUGGGACUGAGACACGGCCCAGACUCCUACGGGAGGCAGCAGUAGGGAAUCUUCGGCAAUGGACGGAAGUCUGACCGAGCAACGCCGCGUGAGUGAAGAAGGUUUUCGGAUCGUAAAGCUCUGUUGUAAGAGAAGAACGAGUGUGAGAGUGGAAAGUUCACACUGUGACGGUAUCUUACCAGAAAGGGACGGCUAACUACGUGCCAGCAGCCGCGGUAAUACGUAGGUCCCGAGCGUUGUCCGGAUUUAUUGGGCGUAAAGCGAGCGCAGGCGGUUAGAUAAGUCUGAAGUUAAAGGCUGUGGCUUAACCAUAGUAGGCUUUGGAAACUGUUUAACUUGAGUGCAAGAGGGGAGAGUGGAAUUCCAUGUGUAGCGGUGAAAUGCGUAGAUAUAUGGAGGAACACCGGUGGCGAAAGCGGCUCUCUGGCUUGUAACUGACGCUGAGGCUCGAAAGCGUGGGGAGCAAACAGGAUUAGAUACCCUGGUAGUCCACGCUGUAAACGAUGAGUGCUAGGUGUUAGACCCUUUCCGGGGUUUAGUGCCGUAGCUAACGCAUUAAGCACUCCGCCUGGGGAGUACGACCGCAAGGUUGAAACUCAAAGGAAUUGACGGGGGCCCGCACAAGCGGUGGGGCAUGUGGUUUAAUUCGAAGCAACGCGAAGAACCUUACCAGGUCUUGACAUCCCUCUGACCGCUCUAGAGAUAGAGCUUUCCUUCGGGACAGAGGUGACAGGUGGUGCAUGGUUGUCGUCAGCUCGUGUCGUGAGAUGUUGGGUUAAGUCCCGCAACGAGCGCAACCCCUAUUGUUAGUUGCCAUCAUUUAGUUGGGCACUCUAGCGAGACUGCCGGUAAUAAACCGGAGGAAGGUGGGGAUGACGUCAAAUCAUCAUGCCCCUUAUGACCUGGGCUACACACGUGCUACAAUGGCUGGUACAACGAGUCGCAAGCCGGUGACGGCAAGCUAAUCUCUUAAAGCCAGUCUCAGUUCGGAUUGUAGGCUGCAACUCGCCUACAUGAAGUCGGAAUCGCUAGUAAUCGCGGAUCAGCACGCCGCGGUGAAUACGUUCCCGGGCCU
rnacentral:rRNA from 1 species